rnacentral:rRNA from 1 species
AAGCGUUAUCCGGAUUCACUGGGUUUAAAGGGUGCGUAGGCGGACAGGUAAGUCAGUGGUGAAAUCUCUGGGCUUAACCCAGAAACUGCCGUUGAUACUAUUUGUCUUGAAUAUCCUGGAGGUAGGCGGAAUAUGUCAUGUAGCGGUGAAAUGCUUAGAUAUGACAUAGAACACCGAUAGCGAAGGCAGCUUACUACAGGAUGAUUGACGCUGAGGCACGAAAGCGUGGGGAGCAAACAGG